UGUGCUUGAGGAAGCUUAUUGGAAAUCAGUAUUCCCCAACAAUCCAAUGCCAAAAGCUUUAAGAGAUAUUCUACCACCAUCUGGUUUGUAUUCAAUUUUUCCAAAUCACUAUUAACUUAUACAUACUAUAAAUAGGAUUAUCUUUGUGAUUCAAAUCUUCAAAAUAUACUUUUAGUGAACACCCAGAAUUGCUAAGUCAAGAGCUAGGGAGAAAAAAAUUAAAAAAAUAUAUUUUAUAGCAUUAAUAUUUGGUUCACCGAUAAUAUACUUUUUUUUUUCAUUCAGAUAGCAUUAAUGGAUCAAUUAAGGAUUCCAAUGCUAGCUACCAUGCAGGAAGUUAUAGAAAUGAACAAUCAAUCCAAGGUAAAUCAUUUUAUUUCCAUUAUAUGUACAUAUGUUAAUGUUUAGGUUUUCGAGAACAGAAUUCGACUAUUUAAGCCAAAUUAACUAAGCUUUAACAUUUAAAAUUUGAGUUUAAAUGUUUUUAGAUUAUUCAGGUAAUAGUACUGGACCAUCUAAGGAAUUUAGUGCUCCAAGCUCUCUAGGAGCCUACCAG
rnacentral:lncRNA from 1 species